rnacentral:misc_RNA from 1 species
UCUCCGUUGGUGAACCAGCGGAGGGAUCAUUACAGAGUUUUCACAACUCCCAACCCUUGCGAACCGUACCCCUUCUGUUCUCGUUGCUUCCGGCCGGGGGGACGGGGGGGCCCGAAACGGCCUCCCCGCCCCGCCCGCCGGGGGCGGCGGGCCCUACGCACCUAUUUAUAUCAACCAACAGCAACCGUCUGCGGAAACAAACAAAAGAAUCAAAAAUUUCAACAAAGGAUCACUUGGCUCUAGCAUCGACGCAGAACACCACAGAGCGGAAGAGCACAC